CUCUCACGAACCGUUCUCACGCAAAUGCUCUUCACAACUUUUUGGUGCUUCCUCUCAUUCAUUCCUCUGUCCUGCCAUCCAUCCAUCGUGCCCUCCUCCGUCAUUCCCUUCCUUUGUCUAGUGCUUCGUCAUAGUGAACUGAUUUCAGUAAGAACAUCCAACGAUCUGCUUUCCACAUAUUUAAGGGCUAAACUUUGAGUACAAAGUUGUUGAUAUUUUGAAUGGUGAGCAUUUGACUCCUGACUUUCAGCUGACGGAAGAGAUUUCUUGACUUCAUAUAAUGAAGUUUAUGACAGUUCUGAUUUUAUGGGCCUACAAGAAAAUUAAGCCUUCUUAGAGGGAUCUAUGUCUACGGUUGAUAUAUAGCACUACUUAUUUUCUUCUUAACUUGUGAAUUGUUUUCUUUUUUCUAUUUAUUAAUUAAUAAUUAAGCAAUCUCUAUGGAUUUUUAAGUAGUAAUUGUGUACUAUUUGUUGUUCUAACUGGUUUGCAAUGUUUUGUAUUGUAAUUUCAAUCAUUUUAAAGGUUUUAAGAAGCCAUCUGCAAUUCAACAAAGAGGAAUUGUUCCUCUUUACAAAGGGCUUGAUGUAAUCCAACAAGCCCAGUCUAGAACUGGGAAGAUUGCAACUUUUUGCUCUGGCAUUUUGCAGCAACUUGAUUAUGGUCUUGUGCAAUGCCAAGCAUGUUACUUCUAUUUAGGGUUUGUAUUAUGUUAAUGAAUAAGGUAUGUAUUUAUUGGCUUGUUUUUUUUAAUUUGAAGCACAUAUACUAAGUUAUUGAUCCAAUCUUUUCAUUCUAGUGUGUGACACCAAUGGGUAGACACCUCUUGAGGUAUGUAUUUUCUGCUAGGAACUUACAGACCCACCAUUUCCUCCAUAUAUUUCUAAUUUACCAAAAACUUAAAUAAUGGGUGUUUUUAUUUAGAAACUGGUUUCUGAGGCCAUUACUGGAUCUUGAAAAUUUGAAUAAACAACUUAAUGUUGUAUCCUUUCAUUCUUUGACCAUAUAGAACUAAGCUUGUAUUAAAUGUAUAAGCAAUAUGUAUUAUGUCGUAACAUUCUGAAAAAAAAAAAAAAAAGAAUAUGCCCUUGUUUUUAAUGAUAGACAAACACACUAGGAGACCAUGCAGGUUCUUUUUUGUAACAUUCUGUAAUUCUACCAUUGCUUACAUGGCUCUAAAGAUAGAUCAUAUUAUAGAUGGCAGAGUGGUAGCAUAAGUUUAUUUUUUUGUAAUUCUAAACUUGUUAUCUUUAUAAUAGGUAAUCGUCAAUGAAAUAUUUUUAUAUCAUUAUCAGGUGGAAUAGAAGAAGACCAGUUCCUAAGGCCGAAAUGAAGUAUAAAAGUAUCAAGAACAAGAAAGAUUUUUGUUAGAGGAAUAUACCUCUUGGUUUAAUUGAAGGUAUUUGAAGAAUUCGUGGACCAUGAGAUCGAUCAAGUUCACUUAUGCAUUAGUUUGAUUAGAUGAGUUCAUACAUCAUGUAUUACAGUUAAUUUAUCUUUUUGAUUUUUACCGACAAUUUACUUUAAAUUUUUAUUAUCAAUAUAAAGAUCUAAACAUAUAUGGGUAAUGUUGAA